rnacentral:lncRNA from 1 species
UACAGUAAUCCCCUCAUCAUCUAGAGCCCGCCUGGCCAAACUUCUUGGCACAACUACAGGAGGUGGGAUGGAUACUACUGACGGGGCAGGAGAUUUCCCCCGAGCAAUCUGCUCCCUCAGAGCCUGAUUCUCCGCCAGUAACUGUUCCAUCAAUGCAUCUCUACUUCCUACCUCUCCUUGAUCAUCGACCCUCCGUCUAUCAGCAGGAGGAGGUUUUUCUCUUUGGGGCUCGACAUGUGCAGAACCCGCAUCCAAUGCUAUAUCUGGCUCCAUUUUUCUUGAAAGUAUUCUUUAUAUGUCUCUAAAAGAGUUAAAAAGAGAGGGCAGUCGUUACACACUGAGUCAUAAUAUAUUUUACUGAAUUGUAAAUGACUCAUAAAUUAAUAUACAGAAAAAUCCUAUGCUCCAUAGUAUAAUCCUAUACUUAAUCCUGGCUCACCCUAUUGCUCUGACAGGACUCUUCUUAACCUUUGCUCUGAUACCAAGCUUUGUCACGACCCCCGCCCCGUUCCCGGCGGGCCGCCGCGACGGUCCUAGGGUGCGGGUAGGCAUAAGGCCACCAGCCACCGCGUAGAACCCUACUACCUAUCAAUCAUCAAUAAAUCUUGAAAAAUUUGGCAUGAUGCAUGCACAAAAUGAUCACUUUUCCUAUAGUGACCUGUCAGGAUUAUCUCAAUACAUACAACACACUACCUGUCAGAGCAGCAAUCACAUAAUCUGUCACAUAUA